UACAGAGGUCCCAAGCGUUGUUCGGAUUCAUUGGGCGUAAAGGGUGCGUAGGCGGCGCGGUAAGUCGGGUGUGAAAUCUCGGAGCUUAACUCCGAAACUGCAUUCGAUACUGCCGUGCUUGAGGACUGGAGAGGAGACUGGAAUUUACGGUGUAGCGGUGAAAUGCGUAGAUAUCAGGAGGAACACCAACGGCGAAGGCAGCACUCUGGGCCGGUACUGACGCUGAGGAGCGAAAGCGUGGGGAGCGAACAGG
rnacentral:rRNA from 1 species